GCCAAAAAUCUAGCCCCAAAUUGCCCCGGCCUCAACACAUUACAUGCACUAACUAAAACAUUCAUUAGGUUAAGUAAAGGCGAUUGAAAAACUAACUGGCGCGAUAUAUUUAGUACCGCAAGGGAAAGAUGAAAUAAAAAUGAAAAACUUUAAGCACAAAAAAGCAGAGACUCUACCUCGUACCUUUUGCAUCAUGGUUUAACUAGUCCAAUCAAGCAAAAAGACUUAAAGUUUGACUCCCCGAAACUAAGCGAGCUACUUCAAGGCAGCCUAACGAGCGACCCCGUCUCUGUUGCAAAAGAGUGGAAAGACCUUCAAGUAGAGGUGACAGGCCUAUCGAGCUUAGUGAUAGCUGGUUACUCAAGAAACGGAUCUUAGUCCAACCUAAAGUUAACUUAAUACAAUAAAAAUUUCCCCGUGACUUUAGAGCAAUUCAAAUAAGGUACAGCCUAUUUGAAACAGGAUACAACCUCAACUAAUGGGUUCUAUGCCUAGUAUGUUUUAACUAAGUGGGCCUAAAAGCAGCCAUCUCUCGAAAAGCGUCAAAGCUUAAUUAUUUUCUACCACAAUCCCAAAACCCCCAUCUAACCCUUUUAUAGUAAUGAGUAAUUCUAUACCCCCUAUAGAACUUUUUAUGUUAAAACUAGUAACAAGAAGAUGAGCCUUCUCUUGAAUGCAAACGUAAACCAGAAAGGACACACCGCUGGUGAUUAACACCCAUGAGCUGCUAAUAGAAACGCCAUGAAAAACCCCUAUUAACUGAUAUGUUAACCUGACACAAGAGCAUUAAAAGAAAGAUUAAAAGGAAAAGAAGGAACUCGGCAAAUAUUAACCUCGCCUGUUUACCAAAAACAUCGCCUCUUGAACAAAUAUAAGAGGUCCAGCCUGCCCAGUGACUCUGUUCAACGGCCGCGGUAUCCUAACCGUGCAAAGGUAGCGUAAUCACUUGUCCUUUAAAUGGGGACUGGUAUGAAUGGCAUCACGAAGGUUAUACUGUCUCCUUUCCCCAAUCAGUGAAACUGAUCUCCCCGUGAAGAAGCGGGGAUACACAUAUAAGACGAGAAGACCCUAUGGAGCUUUAAACGAAACAACAAUCGCUACCUCAUUUUAAAUUUCAGAAUACUUACUUCUAUUCUAGCGGUAUGAUUGCUAGUUUUAGGUUGGGGUGACCACGGAGAACAAACUAACCUCCGUAUUGAAAGGGGAUUCCCCUAAGCAAAAAGCCACAACUUUAUGCAUCAAUAAAUUGACAUCCAUUGACCCAAUAUUUUGACCAACGAACCAAGUUACCCUAGGGAUAACAGCGCAAUCCAUUUUGAAAGCCCCUAUCGACAAAUGGGUUUACGACCUCGAUGUUGGAUCAGGGUAUCCCAGUGGUGCAGCCGCUACUAAAGGUUCGUUUGUUCAACGACUAAGACCCUACGU
rnacentral:rRNA from 1 species